AUAAACAAAAGCAUCCCAUGUACUUAACCAAAAAAAGAUGCAACUUUCUAUUAUUUCCCAUUUUCUCUCUCGAUACUUUCUCCCACAACACACUCUCACCAUCGCUCUCUCGACAAUUUCAUCUCCCUGCAUCAUCUCUUUAACCACCUCUCCCACCUUCUCCCUUCUCUCAAUAUCUCAAUUUAAUUCACAGCCUGAAGAUCCAUCUUCAAACUUCAAUUGGAGACCCAACAUAAAGAAACAGAUCUUGGAGUUCACGCUUGAAGAAACAUGGUUUGGAGCUCAAUUCGUAUGUUUAAAUAAUCCAAUUGGAUUUAGGGUUAAAUAAAGUAGAUCCGGUUCUCUAUUUUUUGAAGGUGGUUUAAAAAGGACAUGUUUUGCUAGGGGAAUUGCCUAUAUCUAUGGCAUCUCAUUCUACUACAACAUUAUAUGCUCAUCUGAUAGUCAUACAUAACAUAAAGAACAGGAAGGGCCCAAUCAAAGAAACAAAAGUGGAAGUAUGAAUGGUGAUCAUAAUGGAGUGUAUGCAAAUGAUAGUGCUCUUAAUUACUUUUACUAUUAUUUUCCUGGAUGUUACUUUUUAUUAGUUGCAAACCUAUGUUGUAACAAUGUAUUUUUAUGAAGAUAAAUAAUUAAUAGGUGAAUAUACAUGUUUUUUUUGAAAUUAUACAUGUAGGAAAUUUGUAGAAGUUGAGUUGGACAUAAAUUUUAUCAAUACAAUACCAUCAUCAAGAAGUUAUAUAUGUGGAGUUUCCAGAUGCCUGGUGGCUGUUACAAUAGAUAGAAGACUUAGUUUAACUUUUUUAUUUUGUUACUUUGCUGCCAGCAUUAACAUAUAAUGGUGAUAUACACUAAUUUUUUUCAUUGUUUCUUUGCUGCCAACAUUAACAUUUGAGCUGGUAAACUCGACCAUUUUUUAUACAAUUUCAGUACUGAUCUGGUGAAGAGACUCUGCAGAGAUGAUAGGCUUGGCGAGAAAUGGGGCUGCAGGUGAGGAUGAGGUUCUGAACAUAAUGGAGAAUGUUUGGAGAUCAUUGAAUUCAUCGAAGACUUCAUGUACUCAAAUUUGUUAAUUAUGUGUCAGUACAUUAUUACUGUUGGUUGACUGAAUCAUAUGUGGCUAGCUAGGAGCAGUACUUUGGAUAGUACUUUGCAUAUUGGGUAGUAGAAUGUUUAGGUGCUACUACCUGAAUAUUUGGUAGCAAGAUUUGUUGGUACUAGGUAUUUAUUUUGGUCUAGUAGUUAAAUGUUUUGAUACUUAUUUUGAUCUAAUUGGUCCCUAUUAUAUGGAUUAAAGUUGUUC